rnacentral:rRNA from 1 species
AUCUUAUAAAAAUACUCUUAGUUCGGAUUGAAAUCUGCAACUCGAUUUCAUAAAGUAGGAAUCGCUAGUAAUCGUAAAUCAGAAUGUUACGGUGAAUACGUUCUCGAGCCUUGUACACACCGCCCGUCACACCAUGGAAGUAAAUUGUAUCAUAAGUAAUUUUAUUAUUACAAGGGUAUGGUUUGUAACUGGGGUGAAGUCGUAACAAGGUA